CACGUGGUAUCCUGUCUGAAUAUGGGGGGACCAUCCUCCAAGGCUAAAUACUCCUGACUGACCGAUAGUGAACCAGUACCGUGAGGGAAAGGCGAAAAGAACCCCGGCGAGGGGAGUGAAAAAGAACCUGAAACCGUGUACGUACAAGCAGUGGGAGCACCUUCGGGCGUGACUGCGUACCUUUUGUAUAAUGGGUCAGCGACUUAUAUUCUGUAGCAAGGUUAACCGUAUAGGGGAGCCGCAGGGAAACCGAGUCUUAACUGGGCGUUAAGUUGCAGGGUAUAGACCCGAAACCCGGUGAUCUAGCCAUGGGCAGGUUGAAGGUUGGGUAACACUAACUGGAGGACCGAACCGACUAAUGUUGAAAAAUUAGCGGAUGACUUGUGGCUGGGGGUGAAAGGCCAAUCAAACCGGGAGAUAGCUGGUUCUCCCCGAAAGCUAUUUAGGUAGCGCCUCGUGAACUCAUCUUCGGGGGUAGAGCACUGUUUCGGCUAGGGGGUCAUCCCGACUUACCAACCCGAUGCAAACUACGAAUACCGAAGAAUGUUAUCACGGGAGACACACGGCGGGUGCUAACGUCCGUCGUGAAGAGGGAAACAACCCAGACCGCCAGCUAAGGUCCCAAAGUCAUGGUUAAGUGGGAAACGAUGUGGGAAGGCACAGACAGCCAGGAUGUUGGCUUAGAAGCAGCCAUCAUUUAAAGAAAGCGUAAUAGCUCACUGGUCGAGUCGGCCUGCGCGGAAGAUGUAACGGGGCUAAACCAUGCACCGAAGCUGCGGCAGCGACACUAUGUGUUGUUGGGUAGGGGAGCGUUCUGUAAGCCUGCGAAGGUGUGCUGUGAGGCAUGCUGGAGGUAUCAGAAGUGCGAAUGCUGACAUAAGUAACGAUAAAGCGGGUGAAAACCCCGCUCGCCGGAAGACCAAGGGUUCCUGUCCAACGUUAAUCGGGGCAGGGUGAGUCGACCCCUAAGGCGAGGCCGAAAGGCGUAGUCGAUGGGAAACAGG
rnacentral:rRNA from 1 species